AAUCAACGCUGGCGGCGUGCCUCAGACAUGCAAGUCGAACGAUUAAAGCUCUCUUCGGAGAGUGUAUAGAGUGGCGCACGGGUGAGUAACACGUAAGUAAUCUACCCUCGAGUGGGGAAUAACAACCGGAAACGGUUGCUAAUACCGCAUAAUGCAGCGGCACCGCAAGGUGACAGUUGUUAAAGAUUUAUCGCUUGAGGAGGAGCUUGCGGCAGAUUAGCUAGUUGGUAGGGUAACGGCUUACCAAGGCUACGAUCUGUAACCGGUCUAAGAGGACGGUCGGUCACACUGACACUGAAUAACGGGUCAGACUCCUACGGGAGGCAGCAGUCGGGAAUUUUGGGCAAUGGGCGAAAGCCUGACCCAGCAACGCCGCGUGAAGGAUGAAGUAUUUUCGGUAUGUAAACUUCGAAAGAAUAGGAAGAAUAAAUGACGGUACUAUUUAUAAGGUCCGGCUAACUACGUG
rnacentral:rRNA from 1 species